GCUAAAGCGAAAGCAAUAAAAUGUUGAGGGAUCAAUCUGGGAAUUAACCUAGGCUUUCAAAACACCACGCAAAAGGGGAACCCAAACACCAAAAUCAAAAUACAGCUGGGUAGAUUUUUAAACAUAAAAGAAAUCAAGGCGAAAUUUAAACAAAUAAGAAGGGUUAACGGCAAAAUUAUCCCAUUGAAAUUGGGACACACGGGGCUAAAGCAAAAUGGGUCGAUUCAUGUGGGUCUUUCCUUCUUUGCUGAAAAAUCAUUUGGACCAUUUCCCUUUUUGAAACAAUAAAGCACGACCCCAGUUCCCCUUUCAAAUCUUUUUCUUCAGCCAAAACAGCUAAGCCAAGACCAUAAUCCAAAAAAAAAGGGUCUGAUUUCAAAUGGGUGCCAUUCUAAACGAAGGAGACAAAGCUCCGACGACGCUACCCGAAACAGGUAUCUACGUGGGUUUCGGAAGCGUGACGGAUGUGGGCACUGACGUGGCCAUAGUGGUUGGUGGAGGAGCGCACGAUGCGGCGAAAUGGGGCUCGCGGCAUGAAGGCCAACUCCUUUGCUGCUAAGGUUUCAAGUUUGUUUGUUGUUAGGGGUUUUUGGGCUAGUUUGGGCUUGUUUUUAUUGGGCUCCGGGCUGAAUUAGCCCACAACAACUCUAAAAUGAAUGAAAAAGUUAACAUCUAUUAA